rnacentral:rRNA from 1 species
UACGGGGGGUGCAAGCGUUGUCCGGAAUCAUUGGGCGUAAAGCGUUCGUAGGCUGUGUGUCAAGUCUGGUGUUAAAGCCCGGGGCUCAACUCCGGAUCAGCACUGGAUACUGGCAGACUAGAAUAUGGUAGAGGUAAAGGGAAUUCCUGGUGUAGCGGUGAAAUGCGUAGAUAUCAGGAGGAACAUCGGUGGCGAAAGCGCUUUACUGGGCCAUUAUUGACGCUGAGGAACGAAAGCCGGGGGAGCAAAUGGGAUUAGAUACCCCAGUAGUCCCGGCCGUAAACGAUGGAUACUAGGUGUUGCGGGUAUCGACCCCUGCAGUGCCGAAGCUAACGCGAUAAGUAUCCCGCCUGGGGAGUACGCACGCAAGUGUGAA